UGUGCAUGCAAGUUUGNGUGUACCUAUGCA
rnacentral:piRNA from 1 species